GGAUCAACACGUCGGUCGUGCCUUCGGUAUGAACUGGCGUCGUUGGUUUCUCCCUUCUGACGAACCAAGAUGUCAUUAAGUUGGUGUUUUGGGGAGUUAGGACUGUUACUUUGAAAAAAUUAGAGUGUUUAAAGCAGGCGCUUGCUUGAAUACAUUAGCAUGGAAUAAUGGAAUAGGACCUCGGUUCUAUUUUGUUGGUUUCUAGGGCCGAAGUA
rnacentral:rRNA from 1 species